CCUACGGGUGGCAGCAGUGAGGAAUAUUGGUCAAUGGGAGAGAUCCUGAACCAGCCAAGCCGCGUGAGGGAAGACGGCCCUAUGGGUUGUAAACCUCUUUUGUCGGAGGAAAAAACCCGGGACGUGUCACCGACUGCGUGUAUCCGAAGAAAAAGCAUCGGCUAACUCCGUGCCAGCAGCCGCGGUAAUACGGAGGAUGCGAGCGUUAUCCGGAUUUAUUGGGUUAAAAGGGUGCGUAGGCGGUGCGUUAAGUCAGCGGGAAAAUGGCGGGGCUCAACCCCGUCGAGCCGUUGAAACUGGCAGACUUGAGUUGGCGAGAAGUACGCGGAAUGCGCGGUGUAGCGGUGAAAUGCAUAGAUAUCGCGCAGAACUCCGAUUGCGAAGGCAGCGUACCGGCGCCAGACUGACGCUGAGGCACGAAAGCGUGGGGAGCGAACAGGAUUAGAUACCCCUGUAGUC
rnacentral:rRNA from 1 species